rnacentral:lncRNA from 1 species
AUGUUUUCCUAUAUUCCUAACCAAGUUCCCAUAUUUGAAGGAGAGCAUNAGUUUUAGAGUUCUCAACAACAAAGCCCCUCUAUUAGAAAUUUCUAAAGCAUUUUGUAUAGUUGAUUGUAUACCUGCUAUGUACACAAUAGACAAAAGAGGUGGUUAUUCUAUCUAUUUUUAUCAUAGAUCGAUUAUUCGAUCUUUUUUCAUUUUUUGUAUCAUAAUUCAAUCAAAAUUUAUCAAGUUACCCUAAUCUAUAACUUUGAUGAAAUCGGAAUAGUUUCGUAUACUACUACAUUAGUACGAAAUCGAAUCGGGUUCAAAUAUUUCGUAUUGAUUCAGGAACAGAAGGCCCAUAAUCUUUUUUUUUAAUCAAUCUAUUUUUAUGUUAUUUCAUACUGAACAAUUCUUGGAUCAUUUUCCCACGAGAGGCGACGAGAAGAAUUAUAGAAUGGAUUGCUACCUAUGCCUAGAUCGUGGAUAAAUGGAAAUUUUAUUGAUAAGACCUUUUCAAUUGUAGCCAAUAUCUUAUUACGAAUAAUUUCGACAAGUGCUCGAAAGGUUAUGAAUUGAUUUACAAGUCCAAUCCCAAUGUCUUGAUUUCUACUGGCAAUACAUCAUGUGCCCGUAUAUAUAUCAUCUGCUAAUACACGACCCAUUAAUGUUUGGAUAAAAAUCCUUUCCGGCAUCAUCCCAUUCCUUGGACUCAUA